rnacentral:rRNA from 1 species
AGAGUUUGAUCCUGGCUCAGAACGAACGCUGGCGGCGUGCUUAACACAUGCAAGUCGAACGCGAAAAUCUCUUCGGAGGUGAGUAGAGUGGCGCACGGGUGAGUAAUACAUAGGAACGUGCCUAACGGUGGGGAAUAACCACGGGAAACCGUGGCUAAUACCGCAUGAUAUCGCAAGAUCAAAGGGGGCCUAUCCUUGGAAGUUCCCGCCAUUAGAGCGGCCUAUGUCCUAUUAGCUAGUUGGUAGGGUAAUAGCCUACCAAGGCAAUGAUGGGUAACUGGUCUGAGAGGAUGAUCAGUCACACUGGAACUGAGACACGGUCCAGACUCCUACGGGAGGCAGCAGUGGGGAAUCUUGCACAAUGGGCGAAAGCCUGAUGCAGCAACGCCGCGUGGGUGAAGAAGGUUUUCGGAUUGUAAAGUCCUUUCGGCUGGGAAGAAGGGUGUCACGACUAAUACUCAUGGCAUUUGACGGUACCAGAAGAAGAAGCACCGGCUAAUUUCGUGCCAGCAGCCGCGGUAAUACGUAGGCAGCAAGCGUUGUUCGGAGUUACUGGGCGUAAAGGGUGCGUAGGCGGUCCUAUAAGUAUGGUGUGAAAUCUCCCGGCUUAACUGGGAGGGUGCGCUAUAGACUGUGGGACUAGAGUGUGGGAGAGGAAAGUGGAAUUCCUGGUGUAGCGGUGAAAUGCGUAGAUAUCAGGAGGAACAUUGGUGGUGUAAACGGCUUUCUGGACCAUAACUGACGCUGAGGCACGAAAGCGUGGGUAGCAAACAGGAUUAGAUACCCUGGUAGUCCACGCCCUAAACGAUGCAUAUUUGGUGUGGGUCAUUCAGUUGAUCCGUGCCGGAGCUAACGCGUUAAAUAUGCCGCCUGGGGAGUACAGUCGCAAGGCUGAAACUCAAAGGAAUUGACGGGGGCCCGCACAAGCGGUGGAGCAUGUGGUUUAAUUCGACGCAACGCGAAGAACCUUACCUGGGCUCGAAAUGCUAUGGACCAGCUGGUGAAAGCCGGCCUUCCCGCAAGGGACCGUAGUAUAGGUGCUGCAUGGCUGUCGUCAGCUCGUGUCGUGAGAUGUUGGGUUAAGUCCCGCAACGAGCGCAACCCUUGUCCUGUGUUGCCAUACCGAAAGGUGGAACUCGCAGGAGACCGCCAGGGAUAACCUGGAGGAAGGUGGGGAUGACGUCAAGUCCUCAUGGCCUUUAUGUCCAGGGCUACACACGUGCUACAAUGGACGGUACAAAGGGUUGCCAACCCGCGAGGGGGAGCCAAUCCCAAAAAACCGUUCUCAGUUCGGAUUGCAGGCUGCAACUUGCCUGCAUGAAGCUGGAAUCGCUAGUAAUGGUGGAUUAGAAUGCCACCGUGAAUACGUUCCCGGGCCUUGUACACACCGCCCGUCACAUCACGAAAGUGGGUUGUACUAGAAGUUCGCACGCUAACCCGCAAGGGAGGCGGCGGCCCAAGGUAUGACUCAUGAUUGGGGUGAAGUCGUAACAAGGUA